CCUACGGGCGGCAGCAGUGGGGAAUAUUGCGCAAUGGGCGAAAGCCUGACGCAGCGACGCCGCGUGAGGGAUGAAGGUUUUCGGAUCGUAAACCUCUGUUAGCAGGGAAGAACGGUCACUGUGCUAAUCAGCAGUGAAUUGACGGUACCUGCAAAGGAAGCACCGGCUAACUCCGUGCCAGCAGCCGCGGUAAUACGGAGGGUGGGAGCGUUAAUCGGAUUUACUGGGGGUAAAGUGCGCGUAGGCGGUAGGGCAAGUCAAGGGUGAAAUCCCCGUGCCAAACUGGGGAACUGCCUUUGAAACUGGCUAUCUGGAGUGUGUGAGAGGAUAGUGGAAUUCCGGGUGUAGGGGUGAAAUCCGUAGAUAUCUGGAGGAACAUCAGUGGCGAAGGCGACUAUCUGGCACAUAACUGACGCUGAGGAGCGAAAGCGUGGGUAGCAAACAGGAUUAGAUACCCCAGUAGUC
rnacentral:rRNA from 1 species